AACGGUGGAUCACUUGGCUCGUACGUCGAUGAAAAACGAGGCGAGACUCGAAAGUCUAUGUGAAUUGCAGCCACGUUGAACAUAGAAAUUUUGAACGCACAUUGCGGUGUUGAGUUGACUCGACGCCGCGUCUGUCUGAGGGUCGUUAC
rnacentral:rRNA from 1 species